rnacentral:tRNA from 1 species
GGAAGCGUGGCAGAGUGGUCGAUUGCACCGGUCUUGAAAACCGGCGAUGGGAAACUAUCCGUGAGUUCGAAUCUCACCGCUUCCG